rnacentral:rRNA from 1 species
GUGGCGAACGGGUGAGUAACACGUGAGCAAUCUGCCCUUGACUCUGGGAUAACUGCGGGAAACUGUAGCUAAUACCGGAUACUUUCCUCGCUGGGCAUCCAGCGGGGAAGAAAGAAUUUCGGUCAAGGAUGAGCUCGCGGCCUAUCAGCUAGUUGGUGAGGUAAUUGCUCACCAAGGCGACGACGGGUAGCCGGCCUGAGAGGGUGACCGGCCACACUGGAACUGAGACACGGUCCAGACUCCUACGGGAGGCAGCAGUGGGGAAUAUUGCACAAUGGGCGAAAGCCUGAUGCAGCAACGCCGCGUGAGGGAUGAAGGCCUUCGGGUUGUAAACCUCUUUUAGCAGGAAGAAGCGAAAGUGACGGUACCUGCAGAAAAAGCACCGGCUAACUACGUGCCAGCAGCCGCGGUAAUACGUAGGGUGCAAGCGUUGUCCGGAAUUAUUGGGCGUAAAGAGCUCGUAGGCGGUUUGUCACGUCUGCUGUGAAAAUCCGAGGCUCAACCUCGGACUUGCAGUGGGUACGGGCAGGCUAGAGUGCGGUAGGGGAGAAGGGAAUUCCUGGUGUAGCGGUGGAAUGCGCAGAUAUCAGGAGGAACACCAAUGGCGAAGGCACUUCUCUGGGCCGUAACUGACGCUGAGGAGCGAAAGCGUGGGGAGCGAACAGGAUUAGAUACCCUGGUAGUCCAC